AGAACGAACGCUGGCGGCAGGCUUAACACAUGCAAGUCGAGCGCCCAGCAAUGGGAGCGGCGGACGGGUGAGUAACACGUGGGAACAUGCCCUUUGGUACGGGACAACUCAGGGAAACUUGAGCUAAUACCGUAUGUGCCGGUAACGGGAAAGAUUUAUCGCCAAAGGAAUGGCCCGCGUCCGAUUAGCUAGUUGGUGAGGUAAUGGCUCACCAAGGCACCGAUCGGUAGCUGGUUUGAGAGAACGACCAGCCACACUGGGACUGAGACACGGCCCAGACUCCUACGGGAGGCAGCAGUGGGGAAUCUUGGACAAUGGGGGCAACCCUGAUCCAGCCAUGCCGCGUGAGUGAUGAAGGCCUUCGGGUUGUAAAACUCUUUCGACGGGGACGAUAAUGACGGUACCCGUAGAAGAAGCUCCGGCUAACUUCGCGCCAGCAGCCGC
rnacentral:rRNA from 1 species